rnacentral:tRNA from 1 species
UCUAUAUUAGUGUAAAGAACACAUUACAAUUUCAAAGUAAAGACAACAAACGUUAUAUAGAU